rnacentral:rRNA from 1 species
GACGAACGCUGGCGGCGUGCCUAAUACAUGCAAGUUGAGCGAUGAAGAUUGGUGCUUGCACCAAUUUGAAGAGCAGCGAACGGGAGAGUAACGCGUGGGAAAUCUGCCUUUGAGCGGGGGACAACAUUUGGAAACGAAUGCUAAUACCGCAUAACAACUUUAAACAUAAGUUUUAAGUUUGAAAGAUGCAAUUGCAUCACUCAAAGAUGAUCCCGCGUUGUAUUAGCUAGUUGGUGAGGUAAAGGCUCACCAAGGCGAUGAUACAUAGCCGACCUGAGAGGGUGAUCGGCCACAUUGGGACUGAGACACGGCCCAAACUCCUACGGGAGGCAGCAGUAGGGAAUCUUCGGCAAUGGACGAAAGUCUGACCGAGCAACGCCGCGUGAGUGAAGAAGGUUUUCGGAUCGUAAAACUCUGUUGGUAGAGAAGAACGUUGGUGAGAGUGGAAAGCUCAUCAAGUGACGGUAACUACCCAGAAAGGGACGGCUAACUACGUG